rnacentral:rRNA from 1 species
GAACUUAAGCAUAUCAAUAAGCGGAGGAAAAGAAACCAACAGGGAUUGCCUCAGUAACGGCGAGUGAAGCGGCAACAGCUCAAAUUUGAAAUCUGGCUCCUUUGGGGUCCGAGUUGUAAUUUGUAGAGGAUGUUUCGGUUCUGGCUCUGGUCUAAGUUCCUUGGAACAGGACGUCAUAGAGGGUGAGAAUCCCGUAUGCGAUUGGAAGCCAGUCACCAUGUGAAGCACCUUCGACGAGUCGAGUUGUUUGGGAAUGCAGCUCAAAAUGGGUGGUAAAUUUCAUCUAAAGCUAAAUACUGGCCAGAGACCGAUAGCGCACAAGUAGAGUGAUCGAAAGAUGAAAAGCACUUUGGAAAGAGAGUUAAACAGUACGUGAAAUUGUUGAAAGGGAAGCGCUUGCAAUCAGACUUGCUUGCAGCCGAUCAUCUGGUGUUCUCACCAGUGCACUCGGCUGCGAUCAGGCCAGCAUCAGUUUGGACGGUUGGACAAAGACUUUGGGAAUGUAGCUUCUCUAGGGGAGUGUUAUAGCCCUUUGUGUAAUGCAAUCAGCCUGGACUGAGGACCGCGCUUCGGCUAGGAUGCUGGCGUAAUGGUUGCAAGCGACCCGUCUUGAAACACGGACCAAGGAGUCUAACAUCUAUGCGAGUGUUUGGGUGUCAAACCCAUGCGCGAAAUGAAAGUGAACGGAGGUGGGAACCCUCAAGGGUGCACCAUCGACCGAUCCAGAUGUCUUCGGAUGGAUUUGAGUAAGAGCAUAGCUGUUGGGACCCGAAA